UGCUGACUGAGCAGAUGGAUUCCAGGCAGGCAGUUGCUAGCUGAUGCAUGGAUUUCCCAGCCGGAAUGGAGCAAUUAAUUAGAGUUCCUCAGCCAGCGGAUCCAGCCAGUUGAUCACCGAGGAAAUAGAUUAGCUGAAACUGACACUGCUUUCGGGCUGUGGCCAUGCGUUCAUCAGUUAUCAGGGGCAGAGUUGCAGUUGCAGCUCUUUAGGUAUGUGGCAGGACUUUCAAUUUACAGCAUUAUAGCAGUCAACUGAAAAAGCUGAAGAUGUGCUGAACAAAAAAUAGCUGGCAGCAGUUUGAUUUGAUUUCAUAAUAAGACUUCCUGUAAAAGAACCUGUGAAAACAUCAUAUGCAUGAUUGCAUCCCUGUGUGAUACAAUGGAAAGUUAUCUUUUCA